AUUGAACGCUGGCGGCAUGCCUUACACAUGCAAGUCGAACGGUAACGGGCCUUCGGGUGCCGACGAGUGGCGAACGGGUGAGUAAUACAUCGGAACGUGCCCGAUCGUGGGGGAUAACGAGGCGAAAGCUUUGCUAAUACCGCAUACGAUCUACGGAUGAAAGCAGGGGACCGCAAGGCCUUGCGCGGGCGGAGCGGCCGAUGGCAGAUUAGGUAGUUGGUGGGAUAAAAGCUUACCAAGCCGACGAUCUGUAGCUGGUCUGAGAGGAUGAUCAGCCACACUGGGACUGAGACACGGCCCAGACUCCUACGGGAGGCAGCAGUGGGGAAUUUUGGACAAAGGGCGCAAGCCUGAUCCAGCCAUGCCGCGUGCAGGAUGAAGGCCUUCGGGUUGUAAACUGCUUUUGUACGGAACGAAAAGCCUUCUUUUAAUACAGGAGGGUCAUGACGGUACCGUAAGAAUAAGCACCGGCUAACUACGUG
rnacentral:rRNA from 1 species